rnacentral:rRNA from 1 species
UGGGGAAUAUUGCACAAUGGGCGCAAGCCUGAUGCAGCCAUGCCGCGUGUGUGAAGAAGGCCUUCGGGUUGUAAAGCACUUUCAGCGAGGAGGAAGGUGGUGAGCUUAAUACGCUCAUCAAUUGACGUUACUCGCAGAAGAAGCACCGGCUAACUCCGUGCCAGCAGCCGCGGUAAUACGGAGGGUGCAAGCGUUAAUCGGAAUUACUGGGCGUAAAGCGCACGCAGGCGGUUUGUUAAGUCAGAUGUGAAAUCCCGGGGCUCAACCUGGGAACUGCAUUUGAAACUGGCAAGCUAGAGUCUCGUAGAGGGGGGUAGAAUUCCAGGUGUAGCGGUGAAAUGCGUAGAGAUCUGGAGGAAUACCGGUGGCGAAGGCGGCCCCCUGGACGAAGACUGACGCUCAGGUGCGAAAGCGU